rnacentral:rRNA from 1 species
GUCAAGGUGCUGCAUGGUUGUCGUCAGCUCGUGCCGUGAGGUGUCGGGUUAAGUCCCAUAACGAGCGCAACCCUAUUGUUAGUUGCCAUCAGGUCAUGCUGGGGACUCUAACAAAACUGCCCGCGUAAGCGUGGAGGAAGGUGGGGAUGACGUCAAAUCAGCACGGCCCUUACGUCCAGGGCUGCACACGUGCUACAAUGGCCGGUACAGAGGGCAGCCACUUGGUGACAAGGAGCAAAUCUCAAAAGCCGGUCUCAGUUCGGAUCGGAGUCUGCAACUCGACUCCGUGAAGUUGGAUUCGCUAGUAAUCGUAGAUCAGCAAUGCUACGGUGAAUACGUUCCCGGGCCUU